rnacentral:rRNA from 1 species
UACGUAGGGCGCAAGCGUUGUCCGGAAUUAUUGGGCGUAAAGAGCUCGUAGGCGGCCUGUUGCGUCCGCUGUGAAAUCCCGGGGCUCAACCCCGGGCCUGCAGUGGAUACGGGCUGGCUAGAGGCAGGCAGGGGAGAACGGAAUUCCUGGUGUAGCGGUGAAAUGCGCAGAUAUCAGGAGGAACACCGGUGGCGAAGGCGGUUCUCUGGGCCUGUACUGACGCUGAGGAGCGAAAGCGUGGGGAGCGAACGGG